CUGGAAUGAUGUUAACCAUCCCGCAGUGCAUUCCAUGGUGCAUCCUCGCCUAGAAUUGAGUGGAAGCAAGUCCAUCUCAGAAGGGACAUACCUGAAGAGAAAUGGCUUUCCAGACUCUGAAGGGCAGAGAAAGCACCAGCCUGGGUUAGAGAAAGAGAACAGCAUCUCUGAGCCCGUCCUGGGUGACCUCACAGAGAUCACCCUAGUGGCCCAGGCUAGUGACAGGGAACAUGUACCUUCCUGCAGCCAACCCCAGACGUCCACUGAUGCAUCAUAUACUGGCAAAUAUGUGAGUUCCUGUGCAUUGGUCUAACAGCAGAGAC